AUGACGGGGGCUUCCUUGAAGUCUGUCUGCCACACCUGUAAAUAAAUACACGAGGAUAACAUCAGAUGGAAAUGACUACUCUGCAGAGAAUCAAACUACGGUGUUUCGAUUGCAACUUGGUGUCUCGUGAUUGAAUGGGCAGAUAAGGCCUCCUUGAGGAAGUGGCAUCUGAACUGAGAUCUGAAUGCCUAGAGGAAGCCAGCUAGUCUGGCUGUGUUAACAGUGAGACCGGCUGGAGAGCAGUGGAUGACAGGGAAAGUGGUAUGAAAUGAAGUCAGACAGAUGAAAUUGGGGCAGUUCCCAUGAGCCUUUUGUUUAUUCUUGGAUGAACAGAUCCUUAAGUCACAACAUCAUCACAAAAUACAGUCCCGGGCUUCUCUGGUGGCGCAGUGGUUGAGAGUCCGCCUGCCGAUGCAGGGGACACGGGUUCGUGCCCCGGUCCGGGAAGAUCCCACAUGCCGCAGAGCGGCUGGGCCCUUGAGCCAUGGCCGCUAAGCCUGCGCAUCCGGAACAUGUGUUCCGCAACGGGAGAGGCCACAACAGUGAGAGGCCUGCGUACCGCAAAAAAAAAAAAACCACUCCCAAUUUAGAAAUCAAAACGUCACAGAAAAAAGUAUAUAUAAAACAAAUAGGAGAAUCAAUUCUUCAAUAUUCACUCAAAGCUUAUUUGUAUCAGAGAGUUGGAUUAUAUUGUUAAGGUUCCCAGAGACAACAGGUUCCUGGAAUGCCUAGAUCUAUAAACACUUGGUGAGGAGUGGAAGAUACGAUGAUGAACAAGACAUUCUCUGCUACCAUGGAGCUCACUAUCCACUGGUUCACUCAUACCACAGCCUUUAUUGAGCACCUAUCACAUGCCAGAAAAUGUUCUAAGUGCUGGGACACAACAGAGAACAGACAGAAAAUAAACAAUUUUUUUAAAUGUUGUAAUUUUAGGAAUUGAUAUGUCCUAUGAAGAAAAUGAAGUAGAGGAGGUGAUGGCAGGUGCUAUUUUUAGAUUGAUCACAGAAGUGAUGUUGAGAAAAGACCUCCAUGAUUAAAACAGUGAGUCAACCAAUUUUCCUGUGGAAGAGCAUCCUGGGCAGAGAGAAUACAAAACAUAAGAUCUAAGUAAAGGGACAAUGGACCAUUUCUUCUGAAGCUUGACUACGUUUUGAAGGUCAUAUGAACAAUUUCCAACUUCACUAUGUUCAAAUUUAAACCAAGUUGCCAUUAAGUCCACCACACACAGUCAACACUAACACAUGUUUUGUACACUGAGCUUAAAGUUUGUGCAGCUUGAUACCUCAUGCUUUUCUCUGCUUGUUCGUUUGUUUGUUUGCUGAGAUUUGUAUGUACCUAUCAUGCCUGAAAUCUCUAGGACAAAUGCAAAUCAUUCAAAUGUAUCACUAGUCUAUAAUUUUUUCUUGGAGACAAGUCCACUAGAGUACUCUGUCCUCCUCUGACCUGAAUGGUUUGCUCUCCAGGCUGGACACUCACUUAUCGUACUGGGUCUUCCUUUCACCAGCAUCCUGAGCAUUUUCUUCUCUCCUGUGUUGGAUCUCCUGAUUUCUGGUCCCACGUCAUCCUCUUUCUUAGAUUAGUUCUCAUCAUAGUGAAUAAUAUCCUCUACUAGCUUACUAUGAAAGGACACAUGAGAGCAAAAAAAUGAGAUGUUGGAUAUCUGAAGAAUUCUCUAUUCUACCCUUAUAGUAGACUAACAGUCUAGCCAGGAAUAGGAUUCCAAGUUAGUAGUCAUUUCCCCUAAGAAUUUCAAGGGCACAUCUCCACUGUUUUCUAGCUCUCAAGGUUGCUGAGAAGUUUGAUGCCAUUCAUUCAUAUUUAAGAACAAGGCAAUGAAAAGCUGAAUAGAAGUUCAGUGUGUGUGGAUAGAAUUUAUCAAAUUAUAGACAUUGUUAGAGAGUAUCCAUCUAGGAAAUUAAAUUCAAGUACUCCCGAAUCUCAAGGACUCUAAAUCUUUGGUGGGGAGAUAGAGCCGGUAAAUUUUUUCCAGGGAAGAAUCUUCUCCCAUUUUCCUACCUUGGAGAAAUAUUGCUGGCAGUCAACAUCUCUGAGCUAAUGAAGGAAAAGGGUUAGGAUGUAACCAUUCAGAAUGUAGAUGUUUACUUAACCCCCAUUUUCAGCAUGGAGGUGACUGCAAGUCCAAAGUCUCUCUAGUUGAACCUCUCCAGAGAGUAAAGGCUAAUCUUCUUCUUGGGUAAAGGAGGGUUAUCCAUCACCUCUGAAGGAUUUCGAAGAUGCAGUAUUAACUACUUGAAAUAUUGACCCUUACCCUUGUUUUCUCUCCAUUUGCGUCUUUCUCCAAUCCUUGAGGCCUUGGGGUUUUGAGGAAUGAAUUCAUCUACUUCUGGUUUCAACUCUCAAAGAUCUGCUGAUUCAAAUACCCCUUGUUCAUCUGAUGUUUUCAUUCUAAAACAUAGUUGAAAUUGUUUGCUUACUCUCUAUUUUAUCCUUGUACGCUGACAGUUGUUUUAAUCCCAUUAGGUUGUUUAAAUCAUUUGAGUUUGAUUUGGGGUGUAUUUAACCUGCAGUAUCUAACUAGAAACUCCCUCGAAAUGUUUUCCCCACAAUUCAAUUCCUUUCCACAAAGAAUUUCUUAUAAAUAGAAUUUUAUUCAUCUCAUUUCAUCUCAUCUCAUUUCAUCAUUGUGCAAAAUUAAGUGGAAGUUAUAAAAAGAAAAGGCUAAUGUGAGAGAUAAGAAGCCUACAUUUCAUAAACUUCAUAUGUUUGAGACAGAGAUGGAGAUUGCUAGGUCUACCAGAAGCUAUAUCUCUUUACUUUCAAUCUGAUGCUUAUUGGAUUUAAGCCAGUUGAAUAUACGAACAGUUAUAAGGUACAAGAAUAAACUUAAAGGAUAUGGUUUAAAUGCUGAAAAUGCUAAAAAUGCUAAAAAUGGUGUUUCACAAAGUGUAAUUAAGGAUUUUACAAUGGAACUCUUUCUGUAAUAUAUGUCUAUUAUUAGUCUUUAAAGAAUUUGAGUUGUAGAAAGUUCCAGUAACAUAGGAACAAAACUAUAGAACUGCCCAAACAAUUUUUAGGCCUCCAUCUUAAAUUUAAGAGCCAUAAAGAAAUAAAUAGCUACUCAAUUAGAAAGGUUAUAAAGUAUUCAGUAACACCAAAGUUCUUCUGAUAUUUUCUGAAACUCUCUUGAUCUACUUAUUUCUUUUUCAACUGUAUUAUAACUCUUCUCUAUCAAAACUUGUUUUCAUUUUUUAAAAAUUAUUAUUCAUGUUACACCUUACUGAAAGUACAAAUCAAUGUUUUACCUCUUGCCCUUAAAAAAAAAAAUCAGGCAUGCUUAAACAGUUAGAAAAUAUUUGAGAGAACAAUGUGGUGUAAUAAAGAGGAUUAAAUAUUGCUGACUGAAAACAAAUAUGUAUUCUCUUUGCCAAAAUCCCACUAAAUAAAAUUUUGAACAGCAAUCCUGGAAGCCAGAAGAUAAUGGAGCAAUAUAUUUGAAAUUCUAAGGAAAAUUAAGUUCUAACUUAGAAUUCUAUAUCUAGUCAUACAAUCAAUUAAGUGUGAGAGUAAAAUAAAGACAUUUUCAUAAUG